rnacentral:rRNA from 1 species
AAACCGCCUAGAGGUAAACGGGUGGAUCCGCAAAGUCGGCCCGCGGAAUUCAGCUCGGGAGGUCGCGCGCCCGCUGGUGGUCCGGGGAUCUUUAUCGACCCUCCCACCUCGGGACCGCGCGUCGACCGUGUGCACUUUCCGCGGGCAGAGCGCCACGACCGGUUCUCGGGCGGUCAGAAGGCGGCGGGGAUGGUAGGCGUGCGCCUCGGCGCGCGCUGGUAUAGCCCCGCCUGUCCCGAUCCGCUCGGGGACCGAGGAGCCGCCGUCUGGCUUAGGCCGCCUUGCCUUCCCGGGAGGUUCGACUGGCAGAGACUGGGCAACCGUGUCUGCCGACCGCCUCUCGGGAUGGACGGGGUGGGCGAGCCGGCACAGGGUCGGUGGCGAAUCGGUCGGCCCUCCACCCGACCCGUCUUGAA